AGGCUGCAUGCUGGGGGUUCAUUAAUGUGUUGAUGUUGGCAAUGAGGAACCAGCCAGGCAAAACCAAAAGAAUGUGGGAUAGAAGAAGCAAGAACACGCUUGUGUGAUGGUGACAAGGUUGCAGCAGAGAGGGGAGAAUGGCCAGAGCUGCUGAACAGUGUGGUUCAAAGAGGGGAAAAUGCAGGCAUCCUGGCUGCUCUCUGCUCAACCCAGCCUCAGGAGAAGAUGGUCUCAGAAGCCGUCGUGCCCAGAGCAGAGGCUGAGGCUAAACCAGGAAGUGUUCCUUUUGAGCUGCCUGCAGUCCAUCCUCGGAGAUGGCCCACCACCCACCAGCCAGCCAGUCAACAAACACUCAUUCUAUUUACUGAACACCGACCAAGCUCAGCCCAGCGCUGAGUGCUUGCUGAGAAUUU